CAGCUUCGUGAGGGAUGCCGAGGACAGGCCCCCCUUCGACUACCGUGAUUACAGCCGCUCGCCGCCCGAUGAUGAACCGAGCAAGAGCACCGGCGCCGCCUCCGGGGCGCGGGACUUCGACUACGACGACUACAGCGGGGGCGACAAGCUCCGUGGCGCCGCCUCCGGGGCGCGGGACUUCGACUACGACGACUACAGCGGGGCCGACAAGCUCCGUGGCGCCACCGAUGAAUACAAGGCGCCGAGCAGCAGCCUCGCUGGAAACGGGGCGUCCAUGGCUAGGGGCGGCAAGGCGGAGACGACGACGGUGUUCUUUCAC
rnacentral:lncRNA from 1 species